rnacentral:rRNA from 1 species
CCUACGGGAGGCAGCAGUGGGGAAUAUUGGGCAAUGGACGCAAGUCUGACCCAGCAACGCCGCGUGAAGGAAGAAGGCUUUCGGGUUGUAAACUUCUUUUAAGGGGGAAGAGCAGAAGACGGUACCCCUUGAAUAAGCCACGGCUAACUACGUGCCAGCAGCCGCGGUAAUACGUAGGUGGCAAGCGUUGUCCGGAUUUACUGGGUGGAAAGGGCGUGUAGCCGGAGAGACAAGUCAGAUGUGAAAUCCACGGGCUCAACCCGUGAACUGCAUUUGAAACUGUUUCCCUUGAGUGUCGGAGAGGUAAUCGGAAUGCGUGGUGUAGCGGUGAAAUGCGUAGAUAUUAGGAAGAACACCAGUGGCGAAGGCGGAUUACUGGACGAUAACUGACGGUGAGGCGCGAAAGCGUGGGGAGCAAACAGGAUUAGAUACCCGGGUAGUC